GAUGCCUACGGGCCGCAGCAGUGAGGAAUAUUGGUCAUUGGGCGGGAGCCUGAACCAGCCAAGCCGCGUGAGGGAAGAAGGUACAGCGUAUCGUAAACCUCUUUUGUCAGGGAACAAAGGCGGGGACUAGUCCCCGGAUGAGGGUACCUGAAGAAAAAGCAUCGGCUAACUCCGCGCCAGCAGCCGCGGUAAUACGGAGGAUGCGAGCGUUAUCCGGAUUUAUUGGGUUUAAAGGGUGCGCAGGCGGCCUGUUAAGUCAGCGAUAAAAGCCCGGGGCUCAACCCCG
rnacentral:rRNA from 1 species